UACGUAGGGGGCAAGCGUUGUCCGGAAUCAUUGGGCGUAAAGCGCGUGUAGGCGGCUUGAUAAGUCUGCUCUGAAAGCCCGGGGCUCAACCCCGGGAGGCGGGUGGAUACUGUCAAGCUCGAGUCCGGAAGAGGAGAGUGGAAUUCCCGGUGUAGCGGUGAAAUGCGCAGAUAUCGGGAAGAACACCCGUGGCGAAGGCGGCUCUCUGGGACGGUACUGACGCUGAGACGCGAAAGCGUGGGGAGCGAACAGG
rnacentral:rRNA from 1 species